UAGGGAAUCUUCGGCAAUGGACGGAGGUCUGACCGAGCAACGCCGCGUGAGUGAAGAAGGUUUUCGGACCGUAAAGCUCUGUUGUUAGAGAAGAACGUUGGUAGGAGUGGAAAAUCUACCAAGUGACGGUAACUAACCAGAAAGGGACGGCUAACUACGUGCCAGCAGCCGCGGUAAUACGUAGGUCCCGAGCGUUGUCCGGAUUUAUUGGGCGUAAAGCGAGCGCAGGCGGUUCUUUAAGUCUGAAGUUAAAGGCAGUGGCUUAACCAUUGUACGCUUUGGAAACUGGAGGACUUGAGUGCAGAAGGGGAGAGUGGAAUUCCAUGUGUAGCGGUGAAAUGCGUAGAUAUGUGGAGGAACACCGGUGGCGAAAGCGGCUCUCUGGUCUGUAACUGACGCUGAGGCUCGAAAGCGUGGGGAGCAAACAGGAUUAGAUACCCUGGUAGUCCACGCCGUAAACGAUGAGUGCUAGGUGUUAGGCCCUUUCCGGGGCUUAGUGCCGCAGCUAACGCAUUAAGCACUCCGCCUGGGGAGUACGACCGCAAGGUUG
rnacentral:rRNA from 1 species